rnacentral:rRNA from 1 species
UGGGGAAUAUUGCACAAUGGGCGAAAGCCUGAUGCAGCGACGCCGCGUGAGGGAUGACGGCCUUCGGGUUGUAAACCUCUUUCAGCAGGGACGAAGCGCAAGUGACGGUACCUGCAGAAGAAGCACCGGCUAACUACGUGCCAGCAGCCGCGGUAAUACGUAGGGUGCAAGCGUUGUCCGGAAUUACUGGGCGUAAAGAGUUCGUAGGCGGUUUGUCGCGUCGUUUGUGAAAACCAGCAGCUCAACUGCUGGCUUGCAGGCGAUACGGGCAGACUUGAGUACUGCAGGGGAGCCUGGAAUUCCUGGUGUAGCGGUGAAAUGCGCAGAUAUCAGGAGGAACCCCGGUGGCGAAGGCGGGUCUCUGGGCCGUAACUGACGCUGAGGAACGAAAGCGUGGGUAGCGAACAGG